rnacentral:rRNA from 1 species
CAGUCGCCGCGGUAAUACGGAGGGUGCAAGCGUUAAUCGGAAUUACUGGGCGUAAAGCGCACGCAGGCGGUCUGUCAAGUCAGAUGUGAAAUCCCCGGGCUUAACCUGGGAACUGCAUUUGAAACUGGCAGGCUAGAGUCUUGUAGAGGGGGGUAGAAUUCCAGGUGUAGCGGUGAAAUUCGUAGAUAUGCGGAGGAACACCGAUGGCGAAGGCAAUCCCCUGGACCUGUACUGACGCUCAUGCACGAAAGCGUGGGGAGCAAACAGGAUUAGAUACCCCUGUAGUCCCUGUCUCUUAUAC